rnacentral:rRNA from 1 species
AGUGAACGCUGGCGGUAGGCCUAACACAUGCAAGUCGAACGGCAGCACAGUAAGAGCUUGCUCUUACGGGUGGCGAGUGGCGGACGGGUGAGGAAUACAUCGGAAUCUACUUUUUCGUGGGGGAUAACGUAGGGAAACUUACGCUAAUACCGCAUACGACCUACGGGUGAAAGCAGGGGAUCUUCGGACCUUGCGCGAUUGAAUGAGCCGAUGUCGGAUUAGCUAGUUGGCGGGGUAAAGGCCCACCAAGGCGACGAUCCGUAGCUGGUCUGAGAGGAUGAUCAGCCACACUGGAACUGAGACACGUUCCAGACUCCUACGGGAGGCAGCAGUGGGGAAUAUUGGACAAUGGGCGCAAGCCUGAUCCAGCCAUACCGCGUGAGUGAAGAAGGCCUUCGGGUUGUAAAGCCCUUUUGUUGGGAAAGAAAAGCAGCAGGUUAAUACCCCGCUGUUCUGACGGUACCCAAAGAAUAAGCACCGGCUAACUUCGUG